rnacentral:rRNA from 1 species
GUAGGGUGCAAGCGUUAAUCGGAAUUACUGGGCGUAAAGCGUGCGCAGGCGGUUUUGUAAGUCUGACGUGAAAUCCCCGGGCUCAACCUGGGAAUUGCGUUGGAGACUGCAAGGCUGGAGUCUGGCAGAGGGGGGUAGAAUUCCACGUGUAGCAGUGAAAUGCGUAGAGAUGUGGAGGAACACCGAUGGCGAAGGCAGCCCCCUGGGUCAAGACUGACGCUCAUGCACGAAAGCGUGGGGGGGAGCAAACAGGAUUAGAUACCCUGGUAGUCCACGCCCUAAACGAUGUCUACUAGUUGUCGGGUCUUAAUUGACUUGGUAACGCAGCUAACGCGUGAAGUAGACCGCCUGGGAGUACGGUCGCAAGAUUA